ACGCGUUGGCCCAAUUGAUUGAUGGUGCUUGCACCUGAUUGAUUUUGGUCGCCAACGAGUGGCGGACGGGUGAGUAACACGUAGGUAACCUGCCCAGAAGCGGGGGACAACAUUUGGAAACAGAUGCUAAUACCGCAUAACAGCGUUGUUCGCAUGAACAACGCUUAAAAGAUGGCUUCUUGCUAUCACUUCUGGAUGGACCUGCGGUGCAUUAGCUUGUUGGUGGGGUAACGGCCUACCAAGGCGAUGAUGCAUAGCCGAGUUGAGAGACUGAUCGGCCACAAUGGGACUGAGACACGGCCCAUACUCCUACGGGAGGCAGCAGUAGGGAAUCUUCCACAAUGGGCGCAAGCCUGAUGGAGCAACACCGCGUGAGUGAAGAAGGGUUUCGGCUCGUAAAGCUCUGUUGUUAAAGAAGAACACGUAUGAGAGUAACUGUUCAUACGUUGACGGUAUUUAACCAGAAAGUCACGGCUAACUACGUGCCAGCAGCCGCGGUAAUACGUAGGUGGCAAGCGUUAUCCGGAUUUAUUGGGCGUAAAGAGAGUGCAGGCGGUUUUCUAAGUCUGAUGUGAAAGCCUUCGGCUUAACCGGAGAAGUGCAUCGGAAACUGGAUAACUUGAGUGCAGAAGAGGGUAGUGGAACUCCAUGUGUAGCGGUGGAAUGCGUAGAUAUAUGGAAGAACACCAGUGGCGAAGGCGGCUACCUGGUCUGCAACUGACGCUGAGACUCGAAAGCAUGGGUAGCGAACAGGAUUAGAUACCCUGGUAGUCCAUGCCGUAAACGAUGAGUGCUAGGUGUUGGAGGGUUUCCGCCCUUCAGUGCCGGAGCUAACGCAUUAAGCACUCCGCCUGGGGAGUACGACCGCAAGGUUGAAACUCAAAGGAAUUGACGGGGGCCCGCACAAGCGGUGGAGCAUGUGGUUUAAUUCGAAGCUACGCGAAGAACCUUACCAGGUCUUGACAUCUUGCGCCAACCCUAGAGAUAGGGCGUUUCCUUCGGGAACGCAAUGACAGGUGGUGCAUGGUCGUCGUCAGCUCGUGUCGUGAGAUGUUGGGUUAAGUCCCGCAACGAGCGCAACCCUUGUUACUAGUUGCCAGCAUUAAGUUGGGCACUCUAGUGAGACUGCCGGUGACAAACCGGAGGAAGGUGGGGACGACGUCAGAUCAUCAUGCCCCUUAUGACCUGGGCUACACACGUGCUACAAUGGACGGUACAACGAGUCGCGAACUCGCGAGGGCAAGCAAAUCUCUUAAAACCGUUCUCAGUUCGGACUGCAGGCUGCAACUCGCCUGCACGAAGUCGGAAUCGCUAGUAAUCGCGGAUCAGCAUGCCGCGGUGAAUACGUUCCCGGGCCUUGUACACACCGCCCGUCACACCAUGAGAGUUUGUAACACCCAAAGUCGGUGGGGUAACCU
rnacentral:rRNA from 1 species